CUGGAGCAACAUCUAUAAGAAGAGAAGUUAGGCAAGGUUAGCCUCAUGUUGAGGCUCUUCACGACCAACCUCAAACUGCAACAGAUCCGGGUGCUUCUUCUGGGGUGUUGCUGGUGGAGUUAUUUGUGAUAGCGGCAGCAAUCCUGCUGCUGCUGCUGCUGCCAGUCGUGAUUAUGAGAAUGUUGGUGCUCAACAAAAAAUAAAUAUGUUUAAAAACACCCUUUGCAUAGGUCCUCCCUCUCAUCCCUACACCGGUCCCUCCC
rnacentral:lncRNA from 1 species